GUAAAGUGAAAAGUUGAUUAGAAACUUGGAAAAGUGAGUUUCUAUGAAAGGGUAAAAAUAUGAAAAGAAACAAGAAAAAGAAAUCACCCUUGAAACCAUAGAGCAUAGAAAAAAUUAGAAAAAGAAAAGCAAAGGAAAUGCUCAUGGUUGUGUGGAUUUGAAAAGAAAAAGAAAAAGAAAAAGAUAGGGAUCAAAGAAAGGGAAAUUGUGUAGAGUGAAUCUUUGGGAAUGCUCCCUUAGGAUAGGCAAUUUGGUUGAAUUGUCUUAAUCAUAUCC
rnacentral:lncRNA from 1 species